AAAUGGUAACUGGCUGCUGGUUGGGGAUCCGGUAAGCCAGGCAGAUCCCAGAACGUACGAGCACACUCAAGAUAUCAGUGACCGAGGUAUCAAUACUUCUUCUAGCUACGCUGUGUCUCUUGGUCCCGUUUGGGCGUUUAAUUUUGCAUCAGUCCCAAAGGCAAUAGGAGGAACUCGAGUGAGUGCCUCAGAUACUGUGCUCGCAGAGUGAGUACCUCAGGUAAUGUGCUCGCAGAGUGAGUACCUCAGGCACUGUGCUCACAGUGAGCACUCCAAGUACUGUGCUCCCAGGGUGUCUGUCUCUUGAGAGAUUAAGGUUAUAAUCAGGCCACAUGGCUUCAAAACCAGUGCUUCCAUGACUCCACAGGAGCCAAAGUAGUUUUGUGGUUCGGGGUAGGGGCGGGGGUUCACAGCCUAGGGAGCUGUAUUAAAAGGUCGCAGCAUCAGGAUGGUGGAGAACCGCUGCUCUGUAGGUUAAGCACGGAAUGUAAGGUGGGCUCCUGGUCUUCGUGCUGCCAAGAGGAUUAUGUGGUAGGACAGGUGGACACCUGGAUGAUGUGGCUUGGGUGGAGAGGGACACCUGGGACCUCAGAGACUGCAUCUGCCACCCAGACAUCUCUCUGCAAACCUGUCUCAGUACAGUCAUGGAGGAGGCUUGCAUCUUUUGUCUCUCGCUGCUCUUGGGAUAGCUACUCCGCCUCUUAGAGCCUCAGUUUGCCACCUGAAUUGGUCAGCGGCCCCGUAAUAUGGAGCCAAGAGCCCCAGAUGGAAUCCAGGCUGGCCAGGGUGUUAGCAGGCAACUCCUACCUUGGCUGACGACUCAGGACUUUUUAGAGAUGGAGAGUUGAAAAAGAGAGUUACAUCAUUGCCGCCAAAAAGGUGACCAAGGGCAGGGUGAUGUGCGGCGACAAGAUGGCAGACAAAGGGAAAAAGAAGAAAGAAAGCAUCUUGGAUCUGCCCAAGUACAUUGAUAAGACCAUCCGAGUGAAGUUCCAGGGUGGCUGGGAAGCCAGUGGCAUCUCGAAAGGGUUUGACUCACUGCUCAACUUGGUGCUGGAUGGAACCAUUGAGUACAGGCGAGACCCUGAUGACCAGCACAAGCUGACGGAGGACGCUCGGCAGCUCGGGCUCAUAGUGUGUCCUGGCACCUCGGUGGUGCUCAUCUGCCCUCAGGAUGCCAUGGAGGCCCUCCCUAACCCCUUUGUGCAGCAGCAGGACACUUAGCAGCCGUGGAGGGCGGCCUGGCCUCAGUAGCCUUCCUUCUAUAGGGUGAACUUCUUUUUGAUGUUUUGGUCUUUGUUUGUUUGUUUGUUUGUUUUGUUUUUAAAUAAAAUUGCCCACGUG
rnacentral:lncRNA from 1 species